UCGCCCCGGGGAUGCCACGGGCCGGGGGCUUCACGAGCCGGGAGCGCGGGGCCGCUGCCGCCGGGGAAUUUCCAGCCACGGUAUCGGGGCGCUUCCGCCGCCGCCCAUAAGCCGCGGGGCGGCCGCAGCUCCAGCUCUUCCCGGCCCUUCUCUUCCCUGCCGGCCCGGGGCGAAGUUUCAGCCUCAGCGCCCCGUGUGUCAGGCGGGUCGGGCGGGGAUUGGUAGGUGGUGUGCCCUCGGCAGAGGCUGCUGAGCGCAGCAGCCACCCCAAGCCGCAGAAUCAGAGAGUUUCCCGUGUUGGAAGGGACCCACAAGGUUCAUCGAUUCCAACUCUUUGCCAAGCUCAGGACACUCCAAGAAUUCCACCAUGUUUGAGAGCGUUUUCCAAAUGCUCCUUAAGCUCUGUCAGACUUGGUGCUGUGACCUGGGGCGCCAGUGCCAAACCACCCUCUGGGUGAAGAACCUUUUUCUAACGCCCAGCCUAAACCUGCCCUGACACGGUUCAGGCUGGUCCCUGGGGUAAGACAAUUCCGAAGCAGAACCCCGUGGUUGGGUGUAUGUCCAGUCAGUGCCAGCCACUGUGCCCCUCCUCUCACGGGAAAGGCCUCCACGAGUGGUUAAAGGCAGAGGACAGAAGCCCCCUCAUGGUGGCCCUGGUCUCGAAGGGGGAAUAGGCAACCUGCCAGCCCCAGUGCUUUCCCCACUCCCCCCAGAAGUGUCCCUGGGCUAUGGGGAAAGAUCAUCCCUUGGAGUGGGCAGGAGGAAAGGGGGAUGCCACUCUAUAAUACUGUAAACCCUUUAGGACAUGGCAGCUUUGAGGGAGAGGAGGCUGGAGUGUUAGCUGUACUGGUUCUCCUCAGGAGACAUUUCCUGGCUUGGGAGGCAAGGCUAGGUAGUACCACUCUUUCUGAAUCUAAAUUAAAGUCAGUAGCCCUGCUGUCUUGUUUUCUGUGGCCAAGCUUAAUCUAGCAGUGAGAUUUUGAGACAAAGAUUUUAGAAUCUUGCAAUAUGAUGAUUUUAAAAUGUGUGCUCGGUAAUUUUUCCAUGUUCCUGCUUAAAAUGGUUUAGAGAUCCUCAAAUAACUCCCUCUUCCCCUUGUUAACUUUUUCAAAUUCUCACAGCAUUUAAUUGAUGGUUUGGGAAGCCCCAAGUGCCUUUCACAUGCCUGUGAGAUAAACCUGAAAGGAAAAUGCAGCCACUUCUUUCUUCCAAGAAAGACUUUGCAUGCACCUCAGGGAGGAACAGAAAUCCCCUUUCCUGGCUUUUCGUGUGCGAAUUUGACUUCAGUUCAGAGAGGUGUUAAUCAUUCUUUUGAAACAAUAAUCUGACCGUGCUUUUUUAGAGCUUGAAAAUAUUUGGGGUCCCUGCUGGCCCCACCUCACAGCAUGGUCAGGCCUCACUCCAGCCUGCAGAGGCUUAGGCUGAAUUUAAAUGGGAUCGGUCAUCCAAGGACUUUCAGAUAAAAGUCUCUGUUGUUUUUGGAAUGAAAUGCACUGUGGAAGUGAUAAAAGAGAGCGCUGUUGAGCUGAGGAUGUCCAAGGCAAGGUGGCAUCAACCCUUCAAAGUUUCCAGGCUAAGUUAGAUCUCCAGAAGGAACCAUAAGCUGCUGAAUGAGCAGUAGCUCUCAAAGCUUUCCAGGUAUCUGAAAAAAUAUGAUAAAGCACACCUAACUUUAGCAGAUUAAUUGCUAAUAGGAUUUACAGAAUAAGAAUGUUUUAGGGCGGGAUUUGGAUGAAUACAUUGUCUUCAGGCAAAGUGCUCAUUUAAGGACUCUGAAGCAUACUGUUGUUAAAUAUACUUAAUUACAUUAAGAAGUGAUCCAUUAAAGCUGGGUUGGUUUUUUUUUUUUCAAAGUGUGGCUUAUGACAAACAGAAGACGCUGUAGAAAGUGUUUGCAAGGGUUUGUAUGUUGAAGGAUGUUUUAACUGCCUAUUUGCUGAAUGGAUCCUUAGGUUUCCCUGCAAAAACAACCAAGAUGUUGCCCUGAGUAGUAUUUCAAAACAUUGAGCCUACUGAAAUAUUAAUGUAUGCCUUUUAAAAUGUCAUAAUUAGCUGUUAUCUCUGAAAUAACUGUUAUUAAGAAAAGCUGGCUGCUUGUGAUUUGAGUGAGAAUUACAUUCUAAAUAUGAGAAGAUGAUAAAUUUGGGGGAAUAUGCACAGAAGUGAAAGCAGUACAUGAUGUGGCAGGCACACUGUUUUGUAUAAAGAAAGUAAAUAUGUAAAGCAUGCACUUUUGCAUAUGCAUAAGAGUGGGGCUGUCCUCUAGAAAAUAUAUACACCGAAGAGAAGAGCAUAAAUAUUUUUCCCAGCCUAAGGCCAUAACUAUAUACUAAAAAAAUAGAAAAAAUGUGUAAGAAAUAGAAAUGUGUAUCUAUGUCUUUAGCAAAGAAACAGCAUGCCUCAUACUGCUGCUUCAAACAGGGCUACAUGCAAACCCCAGACCCAGAGGUUGUCUGAUAGGUUUAUUUUGUAAUUACAUAAUGGCAGUCAAUUCAUCUUGAUGUUCAUGUCUUGAACAAGAGGCUUAAAAAAACAAUAACGUGUCUUUUGGCUUAUAGUUCUUUAUUAUUUUUUUUUGCCUUUAUUUUUUCAUGACUACCCAUUUUCUGUCCCCUGUGUGCUGCUGCUUGUGCUUUACCACCAGCUCGGCAGAGCGAUGGCUUCCACAGGAUGAGCAUAUGAAUGUAUGGAUCCCAGCCGUGCAGAUCCAAACCACAUUAAUGUAUUUACACACAUUGUGGCGGGAGACAACAACCACGUCCUAGAUGUAGCUCCUUCUGCACAAAUACUUGAUCUUUUCUCCAGAUGCAUCAGGUUUUCUCACCAGCUGCUCUAUCUAGUGUAUGAGCUAAUACCCACUCCCACAGGGAGACAGAGGGACUGGUAAGUUGAAAAUCUGGAAAACAACAUUGUCCAGUUCAGAGGUGGACAGCAAUGAUGUUUGGUCACUCUGUUAGUCCACUGGGGAGAAAAUACACCUAAUCUAAGUUAACAUAGGUCAGACUCCAUGAUCUGAGAAGUCUUUGCAAAACCUGUUUUAUUCUAUGAUUCUGUGAUUAACCUCUUUCAAAAGCCACUACUCCUGAUUUUCAAAACUGCCUUUUAAAGGUAUCAAUAGUCUAAUAGACUCCAUUUAUACAUGUGGGGUUGUUAAUACUGUGUCACUAUCAAAUGGAAAGGUAAAAAAACCCUGGGUGCUCUGGGGAAAAAAAGGUGAUUUUUAAUUCUCUGUAACCUAGAAAAAAAAUGCCCGUUUUAAUAACAUAAACAACAGAAUAACAGAAGAUAACAGAAAACUUCUGUCAGUGUCUUUUCUCUCAAGAAAAAAAAAAUCUUGAAGGGUUUACAUCACUACAUAUUUAGCUUCUGUUUAAAACAUAUGUUCAAUUCUCAUGUAGAUGAAGGGGAAUUACAUGACCACUACCCGAGGAGAAUAGAUCCCAAAUACUCACUUCGUUACUGCUGAGUCACUUAAGUAUAUUUGCACUAUGAUUCUAAUUCAGCCUGAUGGUAAGGCAGCUGCUUUUCUCACUUGCUGCAUGGCUGCUGCAUCUUCAAUGACAUUUAUGAAAAACGUUGAGGGGAAGAACGUGUCCUUAGAGCUCAGAAUACAUCCAAAUUCUUCUAUUCAAUGGACCAAAGCUCCCCAAAGGUGCUUUAAAACUGCAAGCUAAAUCUAACAGCAGAUCACAUUUUACUAUGACAAAUUCUGUCGUUAUCUUUUGUAGACAGUUGCUGAGAUUCAAAGUAUUUAUGUAAGGAAAACAAACCGGUGUUUUGGGCUUUGGAAAUGUCAGGGCCCUUGAUUCUCCUGUUUAUUUAAAAGUGGAAGUGUGCUGAGGGACAUCUUUUGAACUCUAUUCAAAGGUUAAAACUGAUCUUUCAUACAGUUUUGAAAUUCAAAAUACUGCUGUUAAAUGUUUUGACUCUGCUGUGUAAUCUCUGUUUUGCACUUAAAUACCAAAUUCUGUCCAGAGUUGGCUGUUCUGCACAGUGCAGACACAGGCAUUGCAUCUUCCAGCCAUGAGGUGCAGCCAUUUCAAGGGAGGAGCACAACCCCCCAACAUGUGCAACAGUUCAGAGCCAAUGGGGCAGAUAUAGCAUUCCACUGCUGUGGUAGGUUGUAUCAGUAAAAUGGGAUUGCCCACACUGGACUUUGCUCAGGACUGCAAGCUGAUAAUCCCCUCUUAUGGUGAAAAAAUUUGUAGGGAGAGACAACAGAAAAGAAAGAGUGGAUGUUAUCUUACUUGGAGAUGCAGUAGGCUGCAUAACCAAUUUAUGAGUUGCAUAAGCCCAGGGAUCAGUGCUUUCUUUGCUUGGGAGGAACAUUUGCCAAGUGUAUGUAGUUGUUUACUGAUGCAGGGAAGCUCAUCCCAUGGGCCCUCAAAUUCCUUGGGCCAGGUUCCAUGGCAGCUUCCUUGAGGACCCACAGCCACAACCUUGCAACAUUUGUGUGCCUGGACAGGACUUUUUCUCUGGCCCAUCCCAGCUUGGUACAAGAGCCAUGGUCUGAAAAAGUGGCAAAGUGAUGUGCUGUAGAUCCAUACAUACAUUACUGGACCAUGCUCCCCAAGAGCAUGGGAAAAUGGAGCAGAGGUAUGGUGGCACUGAGUUGGGCCAAGAGGCUGUAAAAGCAGCUGCAGGUUGUGAGUGAAGGCAGUGCCAUAAGCCUAUGGCAUCACAUUGACUCAAGUUUAAGUUCCUAUUUGGCUCUCUACUAUGUGUCUACAGCCUUAAUUUUCAACUUCAUAUCAAAGAGCUGACUUCAUCCUUUAGAGGUCUGAUAAUGCUGUAGUUAACUGCAGAGAAUGAAACAAAUGCUCCUCAUUAGCCUUCCCAAUUAUUUUCUAAUAACUGGUGACUAAUCAUAGGUCCUGCCUUUGAAAACUGUUUUGCCAAUGAUUUUAAUUGUUAUACAAAAUGUAUUGUAUCUCGCAGAGCACUGAUCCCAAGAAGCAUAUGAUUAUGCGAAAAGUGCAGCCUUCCAAACAAUGUUUUCAUCCUUCAUGACUGCCAGGGAAAGUCUGGAAGCCUGCUCUCUGUGAGCUUAGAAACCUGUAGAUAAAAGAAAAAUCAAUGUGCUUUUAAAUCAAGAUUUUGCAUUAGUUUCAUGAUUGGUGUGGUGAUUGAAUUUUUGAAUGUUUGAGGUUGACGAUUCUGAAUUGGGUCAGACAGUGUAAGUAAUUUUCUGCUAUUAUAUGCUGGCAUGAAUUUUACCUUCAUGCAACAUUUCCUGUUUGAAUGGGUUAUGCAGACUCUUACCGAUCAGUGCACAAGAUUUUAGUCUACAGUCUAGACAUAUGUACAGUCCAUGCAGAUCAAACAUCAUCUGCAAUGGUCAUAGUCUUAUCUGUGUUUUUCUGGUUCAGAAAAUACAGAAGUGUAGUCUGUAUUUUACUUUUCAAUCCAGAAUUAAAAGACAAGACCAUAAGUAGUGUGAUCACUAGAUAAUUUUCCCUGUAUCUACAAUAACAGGAGGCAAAAAACAAUGGGCACACAACAACAAACCAAGACUCCAACUGUCUCUAAUGAAAAAAUUAAAUUUGAGAUAUUUUUACAGUUAAGUUCCUUCUUAAUGUUACUGAGCUUAUGAUCUCUACACUUAACAAAUUAAGUCAUCCUCAUUUUCUAAUGGGAAAUAGCUUAAAAAUACCUGAAUAGGUGUGACUUUAAAAUCAGAAUUUGGGUAUACAAGACCACUGUUUCCAGUAGAACUGGUACAUAAUUGUAAAACUUGGUGUAUUUUGCUGUCACUCAGCAAAUAACCUCAGUCAUUACUGUGGAAUUAAUUGAAUAGUACAUCAGUACAAUCAAUUGCUGCUUAAUCUAAUUAAAAUUAGAAUUAGCUGGGAGAAAAAUAGUGUGAAGAACUAAUAUGGCUGAAAGUGAAAUUUUCCUGACUUCACCAGUCAUAAUUGAAAUUGCUGAAUAAUUAUACAUAGCAGAAAAACUGAAUACCAGACAGCAUUAUAAAAAUCAGUGGUCAAUUACAAAUACUACAUAAAACAAUCUGGAAACACUGAAUUCUUGAAUCAGAGAUGGAGAAAAUUUUUAACUCUACAAAAUCAUAACUAUGGGUUGUUAACUGAAAUAAAGUAAAAUUUUAAAUAUUGAUUGUAUCACAAUUAAUUAUUUUAAGGAACAGGCUUUUUAGUAAUGACAAAGGAGCUAUGAGAAAUUAAUCAGAUUUCAAAAUACAGUUAGGAGUGUCUUGGUUUUGGGUGGGGCUUUUUUAAGCAGUCCCUUUUUAAGCUGCUAUUGCAAGGAAGCAGCAUGGCAAUAACAACUGGCUGAGCAUAUGUAAACUUGGAUCUGCAUCACUACCAUUCUUUUACCUGAUCUCUAUUACAUACAGGACAAGAAAAAUAAUCCAGAAGUCAGUGUUCCUAGUCUUUGUUUUCCAAGUGUCACUGUCACCCAAGUGCUGUAUAGCUUUGGCUUAGUCAGGAAAGCUUUGAUAGUUUAGUAUUCCUGGGUUUUAUACAAUUAUAGUAAUAGUUCACUGGGAGGAAUAAUUUGUAGGUGUAAAGCACAGAGGGCAUCCUAUACAAAUGGUAUAUUUUAGCAUUAUGGCUUACAGCAGCAAAGUCAGUCCUGAUUUAGCUGACAAAUCCAGUACCCAACUGAAAUAUAUCAGGUGGUAUUUUUUCUUCAACAAAUUUAGGAGGCUUGGUUGUGUUUGUAGUUUUGACACUCAUUAGCCAAACACCUUUGUCACACUAACCUAAGUCACUACAUGUUUAUCUGUAGACUGUGAGCAUGCAUGGACAUGUACAUCAGAGCACUCUGGCUAAACACUUGAGUCUGUGCCAUCUGCCAAAAACAGGACCAAUUUCUACUCAGCAAGAAAUAGUCUGUACCAAAGGACUGCAUGGUUCCUCAAAUACCAAUUUAAAAUAUUACAGCUCUUUCAAUGCCAAACCUCUCCAGAGUGGAGAUGGCUUGCCAUAGCUGUGAGUGCAUGCCAGGCAGGAGGCACAGCGCUGUUCAGCUGACAUACAAAAAAGUAGCAGUCAAAUCAAUGACUUAUUUGACUCAAUACUAACAAUCAUGUCUGUUCUAGGUUUGAAAUCACCUACAUUUUGACUUUCUGUAGAGCUCAACACUGCAGUAACCUGCUCUCCUGGGAUUUAAAAUUUGAUGAGCGAGGUCCCUAGCUGACAGGGCAAAUUGUGUAGGCAAAAUUAAUCACCACUCAUUUACUUUGUGUUGAUACUGGUGCCUGACACUGCACUGCCUUGUGCUUUGGUGUCAGUAACUUUGAAAUUGUUUACGGAAAAGCUCGUGGCUCCCACUGAUUUCAUCUGCUCUUGCAAUUUCGCUAUGAGUCAUCCAAUAUGUUGUAAACAAGAAAGGCUCGCCAAUUUUCCACUCAAUGGAAAAGUCCUGUAUGCUUUGAUAGCAAUACACCAGAGACAGCAUAUAAUGGAAAUGUCGUGGAGCACCAGCUCAAAAGCAGAGGAAAAUGGCUGAAGAAUUAACUCUCAAAAGA